AAAGAGACUGAUUCAGAAAGGAGGGUCGAGCCUCGACUAUAUACAUGUUCGCUUCACAUGCAGCUGACGUGGGGGAAUUCAUACGCAGUCAACCACCUAAUGAAUCGGGUGAGGCAAUCCAACUUUCGGACGAGGAUGCUGAAAGAACUAGAUAAAAAAAUUUAGUUCUAUUGUGUUAGUUCUUUUUAGUUCGAAUGGUCUUGUAAUAAGCGUUAACUUAGUUUUGUUGGCUUAAUGUGUUAGUUCUAUUGA